CGCUCUCCAGUUGAUCUGUCAACAACGGCAGUCCUCGCUCGCUCGAGGAGAACCCGACCUGACCGAUGGUCACCGUUGUCUCCACCUCCGUCGUCCUAAACCCUAACCCUGCCUUCUUCCCUCCUCCGCCAUAGGCCGCGGCCCUCCUUUUCCCUUCUCUCUGAUUCCACCCGAACACUCUCCUCCCUCCUCGCCCUCGCCCUCUCUGCCUCGAGGAUCGUCCUCUCCUCCGCCCGCCCCCUCGAGGUUCUGCUAAGCUGGUUCCGCAACAUCCCUUGGGACCGGCAGCGACUCUCAGAGAUCAGAGACCUCGGCGACCCAUAUCUCAAUCUCUUUAGGAACAUCAUCACGCCCGUCUUCGAUACGCUCGAUGUCAGUCCUCUUCUGGCUUUUGCUGUCUUGGGAACUCUUGGAUCGAUCUUGAACAAUAGCAGGGGGAUGUACUGAAAAUGGCGAUGGAAAGAGGAAAAAGAGAGGGCAAUUUUUGGACACAUGUCAAAUCCAACUCAUAGAGUGCAACUAUCAAAGGCCAGAAAGAGAUUGAACACGAUCGGCUUGAAGAAUAUUGAGCCAAUGCUACUGACAUAGGCUUGAAAAUGGCUACUGGUGCAAGCUCAUUAACCUAUGAUUGCGAUCGAUGUCACUUGAGUGGGUUCCUAAACUCAACAAGCCUCAAUAUAUAAAUAUCGCUUUAUUGCGUGUGAGGUAAUCAUUACCCUUAUUGCAUCUGAGGUAGUCUUUCUGCCGUAGUUGACAUCUGUUUUAUCUUACUAUUUACUCAAAAUUUGAUGAUAAGUUAGCACAAUUUUAUUUUAUUCA